rnacentral:rRNA from 1 species
UACAGAGGGUGCGAGCGUUAAUCGGAAUUACUGGGCGUAAAGCGCACGUAGGCGGCUUGGUAUGUCGGGUGUGAAAUCCCCGGGCUCAACCUGGGAACUGCAUCCGAAACUGCCUUGCUAGAGUAUGGGAGAGGGAAGUGGAAUUUCCGGUGUAGCGGUGAAAUGCGUAGAUAUCUGGAGGAACACCGGUGGCGAAGGCGGCAUCCUGGACCAACACUGACACUGAGGAGCGAAAGCCAGGGGAGCAAACGGG